GGGCUCGUGGCCUAGUGGUAUGGCGUCCGCUUUGCAAGCGGAAGGUCGCGGUUUCGAUCACCGUCGGGUCCA
rfam:Nannochloropsis gaditana strain B-31 chromosome 20, whole genome shotgun sequence.